rnacentral:lncRNA from 1 species
UCCUAAACUUUAAUCAUCCCAAUCAGCUCUGUUCCAUCAAAAGUAUCUCUACAACUGUUUCUACAAACCUACGAAAACACAACUGAUCCACCCAAACUGACAGAUCCAGCAAGGAGAGCACUGAGGCCCAUGAUAACUCUGGAGGAGCUGCAGAGAUCCACAGCUCAGGUGGAUAAAGGUGUAGUUCAGUGGUGUGUUUAGUUGUUUACCUGUGUGUUCUGUGAUCAGGUGGACAGGAAGGAUAAGGACUAUGUGAGAAAGUCCUGGAGUAAUCUGUCCUAUCCCACUCCAUCACUAACUACAUUACCCACCAAGAGAGCGCCAUCACCGAGCAGCCAGCGCAGCAGAACCAGCCAGCACCUGUCUACCAGUUCCGCUAAACCACCUCCCGUCUCCCAGAAGCCUCCCAUCACCAAAAAGUCCCGGUCUCCGCCUCCACCAGCCUCCAUACCCCUGUCUCCUAGCAACCCCUCCCUGUCGCCCGGCAACCUGAGGCCGAAUAGGGUACCAUCUGAAAGCCCCAGAGCGACCCCAGAGGGCGAGAAUGGCAGGAAGGUGGAAGAUGAGGCAAAAACGGAGGUGGAGGCUGAGAGACAGGAAGAGGCGGAGCCUAGAACCAGAUCUGCUAAGUCUCCAGCAGAGGGCACUGUUCCAAAAGCAGAGCCUGCAGGAGAGAGCGGUGUCGGUUCUCCAGCAGUCAGAACCUCAGCAGGAACCACAGAUCCAGAGGAAGCCUCUCGACUGCUGUCUGAGAAACGCCGUCAGGCCAGAGAACAGAGGGAGCGCGAGGAGGAGGAGAGGAGGCAGCAGGAGGAGGCUGAGAGGUGAGUAAUUACUAAUGUAAACUAGUAUUUGAUUAUGUAAUUUGCAGUACAGAUAAAGGUA